CUUUGUCUCAAAAAUAUUCAUAUUUAUUAAUGUCACCUUAGUAAUGUUAUUCCCCUGCAGAGAAAAGGAAAUGUGUUCAUCUCAGCAUUCUUGCCUGCUUCCUCUCCCUUUCCUCCUUGUUUUAAUUAACAAUUGCUCAGUGCCCUGAGGGCUGUCUGUUUUAUUAAUUCAUGCUCUCCUUAGAGUUUGGUUAAAGAGUUUUCACAAUAUGAAAAUUAUGCUUUAAGAGACAAAAAGUACAAAUAUGAGGACCUCUUAUAAUUGGGAAAAUGUACAUUUUCAUCAUUUCUUCUUUUCCAUUGUUUAAGAAGGAGGUAAAGAUGUGUUGGGGCUUAAAGGAAUUCACUGAUGAAGGCAGAUGGAGGAGAUAACUAGUAAGUACAUGUGCCUUCAAGCCAUUAGGCUGUGACUUAUACUAUCUAAUUACUAUUUUGACCACUGAUAGAAUUUUUUCUCCCUUUAGUCUAUGAAAAAACAGAUUAAAUAAG
rnacentral:lncRNA from 1 species